rnacentral:rRNA from 1 species
UACAGAGGUGGCAAGCGUUGUUCGGAAUUACUGGGCGUAAAGCGUACGCAGGCGGCUUUGCAAGACGGGUGUGAAAUCCCCGGGCCUAACCUGGGAACUGCAUUUGUGACUGCAUGGCUAGAGUUUGUCAGAGGGGGGUGGAAUUCCACGUGUAGCAGUGAAAUGCGUAGAUAUGUGGAGGAACACCGAUGGCGAAGGCAGCCCCCUGGGAUGUGACUGACGCUCAUGUACGAAAGCGUGGGGAGCAAACAGG